rnacentral:lncRNA from 1 species
GUGCUCAUCCGAUAAGAGAGGGUGUUGCAAAAUCCAAUCUAUUAUGCCAAUAGUAUUCUUCAUGAUGCAAAAAGUAGAUACUCCAAACUGAAGAAGCCAAAGUAACUAACCGAACCUUGUUGCAGAGAUUGAAGAUGAGGCUACACCAAGCCAAGGGUCAGUAGGUGGAAGGGUUCUAUAAUAUGUUGUUAGCCUAUUAGACAAUACAGCGGGCACCUAUUGGUGAGGCUCUAUUCAACCUCACCUUUGGAAUUAAAGCUGUUAUACCCUUUG